CCUGCUUGCCGGUGCCCUUCCCGCAGGAUCAGCUGUUUGCUCCUCAGGGUCUGUCGCAACUAUCGCGACACACAGCCACAGGGCACCCGUGCACCCGUGCACCGAGGCACCGCGCAAAGCGCGGGGCAGCAGGAAAUCUGUACGUGCGCAGAAACAUGGGAUCCACAUGCUAUUAUUAUUUUUUUUUUUUUUUUUUGAAUCGUGCGCAGAAACAUGGGAUCCACAUCGGGGUGUUUUUUUGUGCCCUUCCCGCGGGAUCAGCUGUUUGCUCCUCAGGGUCUGUCGCGACUAUCGCGACACACAGCCACAGGGCACCCGUGCACCAGCGCGGGGCAGCAAAGCGAGGUACGUGAGCAGAAACAUGGGAUCCACAUGUUUGGGGUUUGUGUUUUGUUUUUUUUUUGAAUCAUGCGCAGAAACAUGGGAUCCGCAUUUGGUUUUUUGGGGUUUUUUUGGUGCCCUUCCCGCAGGAUCAGCUGUUUGCUCCUCAGGGUCUGUCGAAACUAUCGUGACACACCGACAGGGCACCCGUGCACCAGUGCGGGGCAGCAAAGCGAGGUACGUGAGCAGAAACAUGGGAUCCACAUGGUUUUGGGUUUUUUUGGAAUCGUGCACAGAAACAUGGGAUCCACAUAUUUUUUUAAUUGGAAUUGCGGGGUAAGUUGGGGAAGGAAGACAGAAUCUUGAUGUCCGUUUUAAUUAAAGACACCCACCUUGGGAAUCAAACUUAUAUUUUCACUCUUACUCCCACAUUUACCUGUCUACAAGCUGGUGAUUCAUCCCCAGCAUAAAGGACAUUAAUUUAAAACAAAACAUAUAAUUAAAGGAAGUAGGAGUGGCUUUCGCCUCAGUAAAGAAGACCUGGCACUGCAGGGAAAAUGACACGGCCUCUUAGAAUAAUGUGAAGCAAUCCUGCGGUGUGGGAAAUAUUGUAACGUUAAGCCAGAGGAACAGGUAUUGCAUUAUACGAUUCAAACAGUCAACUGUUCAUAAUGUUCAAACCUCAGAACUUUGAAAAGAGGAAGAAUUCAAGAAUCAGUGGAUCAUCAGCCUUUUCCUUUCUUUUUUCUUUUUUUCAUUCGCUUUUUGCUUUUCACGGUUUUAAAAGGACUUUUUCUUUCCAUAACAAAAGUCCCCUAACAGGUUUUCAGGCUUCAAAUAUUUCUAGUUCCAUCUUUAUCUACCGAGUUAAUCUUUGGUGAAUACACCAGAGAUUAAAUUGGAGCUGGGCCUGGCCAGAGAGCUGGGUCUGGAGGUUGCACUUGGAGCCCAUACCUUCAUAAAUACAAACAUCUGUAUUGGGUGCAAAUACUGGCAAGUUGCAGGGAGCCAGGGCUUGUUCUUCAGGCUGUUUACACCCUCAUUCUGCGUCUUUAUCCUGCAUUCUGAUCUGGCAGUUACAUCCAGUGGCUGCCCUAACUGGCCCUUGAAACUCAGCGCUUCAAGUCGGUCUCAUGCGCUUCCUACCUCCCCAGCCGCCUGUCUGGGGGACCUGCAAGGCAGAAGGUCCCCCGCCACGGUGACCUGCUGAAAUACAGGGUUGGUCUUUCUUGGCCCGGCAGAUCUCCAGCUUGCCACGGCCGUUGGCUAAAACAGAACCCUAAAGCUGGUUGGUAAAUUUCCUGGGCAGUUUUUCAAGAUAUUUUUGGAGAUCUAAAUUUGCCCUCUUCAGAUUUCUGCCCUGUUCUCUACUGCUCCGCAGCAGAAAGUUGUCCUCUUGCCCAGGCUGAUCUUCCCCAACAAAAUAAAAUGUCUGUGCAACUGUCAUGUGAAACAGAUUAUAUCAGGGAUGGUGUGGCCCACACCUCCUUUCCAGGCCAGUGCUGAGUAAUUCCGUAGUCACCGAGAUCGCGUCAGCCAGGGUGGUAAUUGAGGUUGGAUGCCCAGCUUGUCCCCUCCUUCCCUUCUCCCCCCCGCCCCCCCCCCCCACCUCCGUACUGUACCUGGAUCUCUUUAAACUUCCUCCAGCUCACCUCAAAUCCCAACAUCCACUCUCAUGGAGCCGACGUCCGUUCUCAGCUUCUCAUGGGAACCUUGUUGGCGGGACUAACCACUUAUCCAAAACCUUAGCAUUCGGCAAGCAGGUUUGGAGCUAGCUCUGGUCUCUUUUAAAUUGUUUCUGCACUUGUCAUAACAAAUGCAUGGCCAGAAAUGUUGGGUUUUUUUGAAAUGGGAACAGGUGCAGAGCAAGGAUUGCACCACAGAGGAUUGAGUGGAGGUCUGGGCACCCCGACCUCUGUCCCUGUGAGCGCCAUGGCUUGGCCUGGCCAGAUGCACAAAGGCUGCUAAUAAUCAGCCUGGAAAACCUCAGAGAGAUGCUUUAGCUAGGAAAGGAGAUGCAGACAUUCCUGGUGAAGGGAUCCGGGCACUGCUCUCGCUCUGUGAAACACCCAAGGGCAGCAGCCCUUCUGCAGCAUGUCUCCCAGCAGAGCCGCUUCCAGCAGAAAGGCAGUGCUGCUGUGAAAAGCACCUUCUUCCCAGUGAUUUCGUGAUUUCUUUUUUUCAUAACUAGUCAGCUGAGGAAGGAGGCAGCAUAUCUCACAAAAUACUUACCAAGAACAUAAACAUUUUUGAGCAGAAAAAAAAAAAUAUUCUGAUGCAAUAGAAUGCAGAUCCCACUACAUUCGUGUGUGGAACAAUAUAGAUAUUGGGAGGAUAACAGAAGGACACCAGCAUGGUGAAAAGGUGGAGGGAAGAAUCUCAUCCUCGCUGCCUAUUUCUAUCAAGAAUUAAAUUCUGCUCUCCAGUUUCCCUUUUGUACUGUAGAAGCCACAACUUUCCAGCUCCAGACUCAGACUACAAUAAAGCCUUGCAGAGGCAUUUUCUUCCUGGAAAUUGUCAUCUUUUCCAGGAUUUCUUGCAAACUCUCCAGUUCAUGUGCUCCAGGUCUACAUCAGCUGUCCCUGGAAGGACACCAGCUUUGGGGAGAAGCUAUUCGUUUAAUGGUGACGGCUCAAACACUGAAGUGUUUAUAAGAAGUAGCUCAUAGCAGAUCAGUAAGAUCAGAGCCGCAUCACGCAGAACCCUGUGUGAAGGCAACUGCCCACCCACAGACCCGCAGUCUAAAACAACGUAGAGGGGCAGAAGGGGGGCAAAGAGUAAAGGAGUUGAUGCCAAAAGCUGCAUCAGCGAACAAGAUGCUGUAGGUGGUACCUUGGAGUGCUGCAGAGACGACACCUGGAGAUUGGCACCGUGGCCUCCAGCCGGUGGGACAACAUGAGCGAAAUACCUUCCCCUACCAGACUGAAAAUUUUCCAGAGCAACUCGGAGGUCAGAGCACCCGCUCGGUGGCUCUGCGAAAGGAGGAAAAGGAGGGAGAGCCAGAGUGCGCACAAGCACCCGUGGACGGGUACAGUGACAGCAGAAGCUGCAGUCUCCAGUCCUGUGUUGCACAGAAAGUCCCUGCCGAAGCCAUUCGGAUGGCAAGACACGGGCUGUCUUUCUGAGCAGGACAGUAAGAGGUGACUUUUUAUUUUAUGAAUAGCCUGUUUUCUUGUAUUCCAAAAAAAAAAGGCAGGGAAGUUGCUGUCCACUAACCUUCCAG